UUAAUACAACUCACUUUUAAAUUUACGUAAUGAAUACUUUGUUUUGAGCUUAUUCAUUUUUUUGUUUGUUUCUUUUUUCGGUGUGUGGGUGUCUGCAGCACGGGAGAAUCUUCUCUGUUACUGGAGUGUACAACCUUCAAACACGGAAAUGUAAUAGCUAUAGCUAACAGGCCUACAUUGUUCCGCCGCAGCUGGGUAACGUUAGCAUAACUCCAAUCUCUGUUUUCCGUACAUAGUAGACACGUUAAAACACUGGGCUGAGAAAAAUACUGCAGUUAAAAUGAUUAUUAUGCUUUUUGUUUAGCGUAACUAGUUAGUUCUUUUAUUAUAACACCAAUUGCUGGGGGAAAGCGCGCACGCAGUCCCCCACUACCACAAAUUAUGCAGUCGAGUUUCUCCCAUUUGGAGAAAUCGCAGGCGUCAGCACACUCGCAGUGCAAUGAGUGAGCCUCAUCCUGGGAAAACCACCUUAGUGAUCAUGGUAUCUCCCCUGCCAGCCCGGGAAGUGGCUCGCCGGGAAUUGCACCCAUAAGCUGCAAGAUUUACAUAAGCCGAGCCCCAUUCCUGUCGGCUUCGGCGGCUCCUCUCCUCCAACCCCCGCCCUGUCCCCGCCCUGCCGAGAUGACCAAUGGGCGGGCCGGCUGCUGAAGUGGAAGUGACGUCACCAUGGCCGCCCACUUCGGGAGCCCACCAAGCCGAGAAUACAAGAAAUGAAGAUUCUGAAAAAGAAGCUGAUGACCAAGGGAUGAUAAGGGAUAGAAAGAUGACGUGUUUGCUUGAAGAGUGAGCAUGACUUGGACAGCUGGACUGAGAUUCUGCAGAGUGACCCCGUGACCCCAUGUGGCCUGCAUUUCCUUUUCUCAUGAGAGAUUUGCGUACUUUGGACUCUCCAAACCACAGACCAGGGUUUGGCUGCUGGUAAGGGAUCUGUGCCUAGCUCUGGGGAAACCUAGGGAGAAAGGAAAGACCCCCAGAAUCAAGGCAUGGGAGGCUGCUCUUGUGGGGAUAAAGGAGCCUGGAGGAUGAGAGAGGAGGCUGGGGUGUGUGUGUGUCCAGCAUGAGGUCAGGGGAAGUUCAAGAGAGGGCAGCUGCCAUUCUGGGACCAGAGGCUAGAACCUCCAUGGCAUUCACGCUCUGGUCAUCGUCCUCCUUAUUCUUCCUCAGCUUCCGCCUCCCCCUUCCUCGCCAUCCUCCCCUACCUUCUCCCCAGGCGUUUUUGUUCCCACUCCUCCUUCUUGUUCCUGCCCCUCUUGCUCCCAUCCUCCCAUCCCUUCCCCCCGACCCCCAGAGCAGGCCAACAUGGGAAGGGACUGCCCCAGUCUGAGAGGACGACGAGGGAGUAUCUUCCACCAGCCUGAGAAACACGAACACAUUGCUCUCUGGUCAGAACCUGGUUUGGAGGAGACAGAGCAAGAUGGCUCUGCCUGAGGAGCUCAUCCUCCACAGCCAACCCAGGCAGCACGGGCCUUAGGCCGACCCCGGGGAUGUGUGGCCAAAAGUCAGGAAGCUCUGGACAUGGAUUGCUGACAUCUGGUCCACAAGAUUCCAGACAAGUUAAUAUCUUGGUGCCUGCCUUCUUUACAAGGCAAGUUCCAAGGGAAGGACUGUGGCUCCCCUUCCUGGCCGCCUGGCGAAGGCACACAAGGAUCCCUCUGUUCAUGCAAGGGUGGGUCUGAGAAAACCCUCCCAUCUGUUCCACGGAGACCAGCUGAAAGUUCAUAGUUAAAAGUUAGUGGCGUCCCAGGUGCACUGACUCUACCACCACCUUCACCUCCUCCACCACGCACUCUUUGUCUCCGAUGAGAUUUCUACCAUCAGAGUCAGCCUUGGAGGGGGGAAAAGGCCACAUUUUGGGGAAAAAAAAAAAAAGAUCUAAAGAGACUAGUACUUGUGCAAUUGUAUGGACAGCAGUGAAGCACUCCUAGGGUUCUAAGCUGACUUUAUCUUGAUUCACUGGUCUAGAUUGUGCCUUCAGGUAGUGUCUUAUUUUAACUAAACUUUGUUGAAAUUAGAGAAGUUCUUUUCUUCAUAGUUCCAAUAUUAGUUGGCAUCUGAGUUAAUAGUUUUGUGACCAGCAGAAUAAUACUGUCUCCCCCAGGAUGUGCCUGCUGUAAUUCCCCCACCUGUUCAUAUAUUACACCACAUAAGAAAGGCAACUUUGCAGAUGUGAUUCGGGUAAAGACCUUGUGAUGAGAUUAUCUUGGGCCAUUCAGGUGGGCCCCAUGAAAUUACAUGGGGCCUUAGAAUUGAGAGGCAGAAAAGGUCAAAAUGGUGUGAAAUUAGAAGGACUCUACCUGCUGUUCUGGUUUUGAAGUUGUAGGAAGGGGUCAAAAGCCAAAGAAUGUGGGAGACGUCUAAAAACUUUCUAGGAAAGCAAGGAAAGAGAUUAUCCCUUACAGCCUCCAGAAGGUAAGGCAGUUCUGUUGACCCCUUGAUUUUAGUCCAGUGAGAUCUUUGUUGGACUCCUAACCUACAGAAUUGUAAUAUAAUAAAAGUGUGUUCUUUUAA